GGUGUAGCUCAGUUGGUUAGAGUGCCGGCCUGUCACGCCGGAGGUCGCGGGUUCGAGCCCCGUCACU
rnacentral:tRNA from 1 species